AAACCCCUUUUCUCUGGGAAGAAAGUUGUGAAAGCAGCCUGACGGUACCAGAGGAAUCAGCAUCGGCUAACUCCGUGCCAGCAGCCGCGGUAAGACGGAGGAUGCAAGCGUUAUCCGGAAUGAUUGGGCGUAAAGCGUCCGCAGGUGGCAGUUCAAGUCUGCUGUCAAAGACCGGGGCUUAACUUCGGAAAGGCAGUGGAAACUGAACAGCUAGAGUAUGGUAGGGGCAGAGGGAAUUCCUGGUGUAGCGGUGAAAUGCGUAGAGAUCAGGAAGAACAUCGGUGGCGAAGGCGCUCUGCUGGACCAUAACUGACACUCAGGGACGAAAGCUAGGGGAGCGAAUGGGAUUAGAUACCCCAGUAGUCCUAGCCGUAAACGAUGGAUACUAGGUGUUGUCUGUAUCGACCCGGACAGUGCCGUAGCUAACGCGUUAAGUAUCCCGCCUGGGGAGUACGCACGCAAGUGUGAAACUCAAAGGAAUUGACGGGGGCCCGCACAAGCGGUGGAGUAUGUGGUUUAAUUCGAUGCAACGCGAAGAACCUUACCAGGACUUGACAUGUCGCGAAUCUUCUGGAAACAGAGGAGUGCCUUCGGGAGCGCGAACACAGGUGGUGCAUGGCUGUCGUCAGCUGGUGUCGUGAGAUGUUGGGUUAAGUCCCGCAACGAGCGCAACCCUCGUGUUUAGUUGCCAUCAUUAAGUUGGGCACUCUAAACAGACUGCCGGUGACAAACCGGAGGAAGGUGGGGAUGACGUCAAGUCAGCAUGCCCCUUACGUCCUGGGCUACACACGUACUACAAUGGUAGGGACAGAGGGCAGCCAACCCGCGAGGGCGAGCUAAUCCCGUAAACCCUGCCUCAGUUCAGAUUGCAGGCUGCAACUCGCCUGCAUGAAGGCGGAAUCGCUAGUAAUCGCAGGUCAGCAUACUGCGGUGAAUCCGUUCCCGGGCCUUGUACACACCGCCCGUCACACCAUGGAAGUUGGCCACGCCCGAAGUCAUUACUCUAACCUUUCGAGGAGGAGGAUGCCGAAGGCAGGGCUGAUGACUGGGGUGAAGUCGUAACAAGGUAGCCGUACCGGAAGGUGUGGCUGGAUCACCUCCUUUUAGGGAGACCAUCUGAUAGUCGACCGAACCUAAACAAUAGGUCAUUAUCAGUCAUCCCUGGUCGUUCGAGAAAUAGAUGUCAAAGCUUUCAAACUAUUAACUGGUUCGGAACUCGCGGGCUAUUAGCUCAGUUGGUUAGAGCGCACCCCUGAUAAGGGUGAGGUCCCUGGUUCAAAUCCAGGAUGGCCCACCUGGAAAAAAGUGAUGAAUUGUCAGUAAUGAGUAAUGGAUAAUCAAUGAUUAAUUCAGGAUUCAAAAAAUCAGAACUACAAGUGUGGGGGUAUAGCUCAGUUGGUAGAGCGCCUGCCUUGCACGCAGGAAGUCAGCGGUUCGAGUCCGCUUACCUCCACUCUCACUAACGAUAACCAAGCGCCAAAAAACCCAAAGAAAUAGAAAUCAGCACCCAGACUAACUUGGUCAAAAAAGAAGUCGGAAUGCUGGAGUCUAGAACUCUAGUCAGAACCUUGAAAACUGCAUAGAAAUUAAGUCAUCAAAGCGUAUCAGUCAUCCGAGCAAUCGGAGCAUCUGACAAGCGACCACCAUGAAAAAAUCAAGUGG
rnacentral:sRNA from 1 species